rnacentral:sRNA from 1 species
GAGAAGAAAUGGCGGCACGAAAAGUGUUGCGGAGGAUGCGGAGUUCCCAGUCCCGCCAUGCUGUAGGCGUUGAAAAAUGAUCUCCUCGCACCCCAAAAUAGCACAGAGGAGGCCCUGAAACCAGAUGGGGCCACGUGGGUGGAAACAAGGAGGUUCUCUUCAGUGGCUGGCACUAAACAGCACCCAAGGAACAAUCAGGAUGAAGGUCUCAGCCGAUGCCGCUGUGGCUAGAUGACGUUUGGACCUGAUUAAAGAAGGACAACAAAGGCCAAUUUGCCAUCACCAAAGGAGCAGCUUGACCUGGAGGGAUGAGGCCUGGAGGCCGACAGCAGGACCCCGUCAGUGAUUCUUUCGGCUCUUGAAAAUGAUCCCUGAAUCCAACGGAGCUGCAUCUACAGAAUGAAAAAGUCCAAGAAAGACACUUUCUCGCACC